GCGUCGGUGGUGCAACGGUAAGCAUACACUUCCAGAAAGAGUGAGUUCGGGGUUCGAAACCCUGCUGACGCA